UAAGCAGUUUUAAAACUUAUAAAAAUUGAUUUCUAAUCAAGUUUAAGCGGUUAA
rnacentral:tRNA from 1 species